GAUGAACGCUAGCGGCAGGCUUAAUACAUGCAAGUCGAGGGGCAGCACAGGUAGCAAUACUGGGUGGCGACCGGCAAACGGGUGAGGAACACGUACGCAACCUCCCUUCAAAUGAGGAAU
rnacentral:rRNA from 1 species